CCUACGGGGGGCUGCAGUGAGGAAUAUUGGUCAAUGGGCGGGAGCCUGAACCAGCGAAGCCGCGUGAGGGAAGAAGGUACAGCGUAUCGUAAACCUCUUUUGUCAGGGAACAAAGGCGGGGACUAGUCCCAGGAUGAGGGUACCUGAAGAAAAAGCAUCGGCUAACUCCGUGCCAGCAGCCGCGGUAAUACGGAGGAUGCGAGCGUUAUCCGGAUUUAUGGGGUUUAAAGGGUGCGCAGGCGGCCUGUUAGGCCAGCGGUAAAAGCUCGGGGCUCAACCCCGGCGAGCCGUUGAAACUGGGGGGCUGGAGUUGGAGAGAGGUACGCGGAAUGCGCGGUGUAGCGGUGAAAUGCUUAGAUAUCGCGAAGAACCCCGAUUGCGAAGGCAGCGUACCGGCUCCACACUGACGCUGAGGCACGAAAGCGUGGGUAUCGAACAGGAUUAGAUACCCGUGUAGUC
rnacentral:rRNA from 1 species